ensembl:lncRNA
UUCUUCUCUGGAGAUGCACAAUGAGGGACGUCUGCAGAGACUGAGAAAGAGUCUCACCACAUCCUGACAUGAGGAAAAAGACUUUAUUGAAGACUACAAUGAGAAAAACUAUCAGACAGCAGACGGCUGCAUUCAAGUCUGUAGCUGCUGAAUUCAUGGAUGAAUCAUCUGGCACUAGAGAAGAAGACCAUCAAACAUCCACGUCAGCUGAUGGAGGUCCAAGAGUCUCACCAAACAACCAACCUACAGAGUGAAGACCUCAAAUCUGAUUGGACGGCCUCCUAUUCAGCCACGUGUGAACAAAUGCCUCUAAGCUGAUUUGUUUUCUAAAAUAAAUCUAGUUUGUGUCCUAAUCAAUGCCUGUGUGUUUGCUUCUUUACACCGUUGUUAACAGUUUAGGCUGUUAGAUUGUUCCAGAUAAGACAAGUACAAGAUUCUUCAGAGCCGUUCUACCACGAGCCUGACAGGAAGAACUCCAACAGCUACUGAAUGUUCCUGUGGUUCCCUCAAG